rnacentral:rRNA from 1 species
UGGGGAAUAUUGCACAAUGGGCGCAAGCCUGAUGCAGCCAUGCCGCGUGUAUGAAGAAGGCCUUCGGGUUGUAAAGUACUUUCAGUCGGGAGGAAGGUGGUAAGGUUAAUACCUUAUCAAUUGACGUUACCGACAGAAGAAGCACCGGCUAACUCCGUGCCAGCAGCCGCGGUAAUACGGAGGGUGCAAGCGUUAAUCGGAAUUACUGGGCGUAAAGCGCACGCAGGCGGUCUGUCAAGUCGGUUGUGAAAUCCCCGGGCUUAACCUGGGAACUGCAUUCGAAACUGGCAGGCUAGAGUCUUGUAGAGGGGGGUAGAAUUCCAGGUGUAGCGGUGAAAUGCGUAGAGAUCUGGAGGAAUACCGGUGGCGAAGGCGGCCCCCUGGACAAAGACUGACGCUCAGGUGCGAAAGCGUGGGGAGCAAACAGG